CGUAUCACCCAAGACAACUUUACGGAGUUGACGAUUGACGGAGCGAAGCGACGUCAAAGCGUUCAUUAAAGUCGAGUUGGCUUAGGGAUACGUUCGUUGGGUAGGGGAGCGUUCUGUAAGCCUGUGAAGGUGUGUCGUGAGGCAUGCUGGAGGUAUCAGAAGUGCGAAUGCUGACAUAAGUAACGAUAAAGCGGGUGAAAAGCCCGCUCGCCGGAAGACCAAGGGUUCCUGUCCAACGUUAAUCGGGGCAGGGUGAGUCGACCCCUAAGGCGAGGCCGAAAGGCGUAGUCGAUGGGAAACGGGUUAAUAUUCCCGUACUUGGUGUUACUGCGAAGGGGGGACGGAGAAGGCUAUGUUGGCCGGGCGACGGUUGUCCCGGUUUAAGCGUGUAGGUGUGUGUUCCAGGUAAAUCCGGUUCACUUUAACACUGAGGCGUGACGACGAGGCACUACGGUGCUGAAGCAACAAAUGCCCUGCUUCCAGGAAAAGCCUCUAAGCAUCAGGUAACAUCAAAUCGUACCCCA
rnacentral:rRNA from 1 species